rnacentral:rRNA from 1 species
UGGCGACCGGCGCACGGGUGCGUAACGCGUAUGCAACCUACCUUUAACAGGGGAGUAACACUGAGAAAUUGGUACUAAUACCCCAUAAUAUUCGGAGAGGCAUCUCUCCGGGUUGAAAACUCCGGUGGUUAUAGAUGGACAUGCGUUGUAUUAGCUAGUUGGUGAGGUAACGGCUCACCAAGGCAACGAUACAUGGGGGGACUGAGAGGUUAACCCCCCACACUGGUACUGAGACACGGACCAG